rnacentral:tRNA from 1 species
GUGCUUGCAUCGAGCACGGCCCUAAACCCAAGCUGACUCUUAAUCAGUAGGUUGUAGGUUCGAUUCCUACCGCGCUCACCA